UUGAGCUUGAUCCUGGCUCAGAUUGAACGCUGGCGGCAGGCCUAACACAUGCAAGUCGAGCGGAAACGAUGGAAGCUUGCUUCCAGGCGUCGAGCGGCGGACGGGUGAGUAACGCAUGGGAAUCUGCCCGAUAGUGGGGGAUAACCUGGGGAAACCCAGGCUAAUACCGCAUACGUCCUACGGGAGAAAGCAGGGGAUCUUCGGACCUUGCGCUAUCGGAUGAGCCCAUGUCGGAUUAGCUUGUUGGUGAGGUAAUGGCUCACCAAGGCGACGAUCCGUAGCUGGUCUGAGAGGAUGAUCAGCCACAUCGGGACUGAGACACGGCCCGAACUCCUACGGGAGGCAGCAGUGGGGAAUAUUGGACAAUGGGCGAAAGCCUGAUCCAGCCAUGCCGCGUGUGUGAAGAAGGCCCUCGGGUUGUAAAGCACUUUCAGUGGGGAAGAAAGCCUUGGGAUUAAUACUCCCGAGGAAGGACAUCACCCACAGAAGAAGCACCGGCUAACUCCGUGCCAGCAGCCGC
rnacentral:rRNA from 1 species